rnacentral:lncRNA from 1 species
AUGAGAUUCUUAACGGUACCAAUUCCACAAUUAAUGCCACACAGCCCCUGCCAACAGAAGAGAUUCUGGGUGAAGGUGGUUUCAUGCCUUUCGGCUUCACAGGGGUCUUAUCAGGGGCCGCUACCUGCUUUUAUGCCUUUGUUGGGUUCGACUGUAUCGCAACUACAGGUAACUAAAGACUCUAAACUCCAGUGCUCUCAAAUCUCAUGUUUAAUCUUUAGAAAGCACAAAAUAAAGCUCAAAUAUAUGAUGCAUGUCCACAAACAUGAGGUUAGUGAGAGCAAAUUGUGCAAGAAGCCUGUUUUGUAUGUGUGUCAGUGUUAGAUUGGUACAACAGUGAGGCUAUUAUUCUACCUACAUAUUUGGCUUGCGUUCAUGUCGCUUUGGUCAAAGUUAUUUAGAGUUUCCUUUAUGCUUAUAAUAGUAUUGCAUGGAUAUUCUCAGUGGAUCUCUGCUUAUGGUUUGCCUCUGGCCCCCCUCUUUUAUGGCGGCUCACUCCCCCACAUUCCCUUGCAUUCGAUUGGCUAGAGUGUUCCAGGGUUUGUCUAGACUCGUCUCUCGUCUCUCCCUGUAGCUGUGGUUCACAUUCAGUAACCCCUCCUCAUCCACAUGCUGGUCAGGAAUGGUAAUAUAGCCAUGUUCCUGUGCGCUCUCUGGCACUGCUGGCAUGAACACACUACUCCUCUGUUUUAUGUAGUGUUCUGCACAAGGUCAAACCACAGGACCUUUUGCCAAAAGCGAACAUGCUUGCACUACUCACUGCAGUAGCUGAGUCAUUUUCCUACUCUGACGCAUCAUAAAAGGACAGAUUUCACAUGGAGUGUGCCUUUAACUGAUUUAAUGGCAAGAUUAAAUUUACUGUAGUUGAAUGAAUGUCAAUAUAAUGCACACUACUGUUUAAACGUUUGGGGUCUGUAACACUUUCUAAAGUCUUAGAAAAAAGUCUUGUUCUCACCAAGGCUGCAUUUAUCUGAUCAAAAUACAGUACAAACAAAAUAUUGUGAAUUGUUGUUAUUAUUAUAAUUUAAAAGAAGCUGUUUUCUGUUUUAUUUUAUUUUAAAUGUAAUUAAAUGUAAUUUAUUCCUGUGAUGGCAAAGCUUAAUUUUCUUCAUCAUUUAUCCAGUCUUCAGUGUGAUAUGAUUCUUCAGAAAUCAUUCUAAUAUGCUGAUUUGAUGCUAAAGAAACAUCUUCUUAUCAUCAGUGUUAAAUUUUGGACAGUAUUGCAGUUGAGUAUUGAACAUUACUGAACAAACUGAAAAGUUUAAUAUUUAAUGUGGAAACUGUUUUUCGGGAUUUUUGAAUAAACAGUUCAAAAGUACAGCAUUUUUGGAACAGAAAUCUUUUGUAACAAUAUAUCGUUUUUGAUCAGUUUAAUGCAUUCUUGCUGACGGAACAUUUAAAUAUCUAAAAAAAAAUGUAAAUGAACCUUUAAGCAUGUUACAAUUUUUAGUGUUAAAUACAAAAUGUAACUGAAACAAAUGUCUGUAUUUUGUGCAAUUUCAUAUGCUGUAUUUUAGGGAAACCUAUCUCAGAUUUUAAUAAUGAUAAUAUGCUGAUAAAAAAAUAUAAUUGUGACUAUAUUCCUUGUAAUGGGCAAUUUUAUUUCUUGCAAUUGCAAUUUUUAUAUAUUUUUCGUUAUUACUGCAGAUCUAUAUAUCUAUAUAAUGUUACUUUUUCUUAAACUAUCUUACAAUUACUUUUUUAUUAUUUGAUAGUGUGUGUGUGUAUAUUUAUCUGAGGCAGCUCAUAUGAGCCCCUUGCUAAAAAUAUGAAGGGAAAUUUGGUGUGCUGAGUUAUGAAUCCUGUUUCUCAGUUAUGCAACACUCAGUUCAGGCCAUGAGUGGGAGUAAGGUUCUAUGCCACAUUUUUUCUAUCUGUAAGCCAGGCAGUAAUUAGUCUCAUAGUAAGGACCUACAUGCAUACACACCAGAUGUUGUUGCUCAGAAAUGUUCAUGUUCUGUGAAGUUAUUUUUUAUUUUUUAUUUUUUCCAGCUCAUGAACGAUAAAAAUAUUAACAGCCAAUCAGAAUCCACUCAACUUAAAAGCACUCUAGCUUUUAAAGCAACACACAGCAAAACUAUAACACACUCUUAAAAUAAACAGAAUGUUAUUGUCCUUUAGUUUGUACGCUAGUAUAUUUAUCGUUAUAGUUGUUUUUAUAGUUGUCGAUUUUGGUGUGAACGUGCCUGAACUGAUAAAGCCCUGUGUACCUAAAUCCCAGACGUUGUGUAACACCAGCCUAUUAAAUUAGAAGUGUUUUGAAGUAUUUGUAGGCUGAUUUCCCUGAAGAGCAAAUGCUGUGGCUAUGUGGCACUUUCGAAAUAUUUCUCUGUUUGUUUAUGUGGUCAUCUGCGGCGGAAGGGGUGGUAGAUGCAUAUGGAAACAAUCAUUAUUUUUGCAAUGCAACUUUUUACCACAAGCACUGUACUUUGGAAAUUACAUGCUUCACCUUUAAAAUCAUCCUUUGAAUAAUUAAAACAUUCAUGCCAAGAGAUUGAUCCUUUUGCUCUUGCAAUUAAUCUGUCUUUUUUUCUGGAUGGUCUAAUAUCACUUCUGAUUGGUGGGGGUGGUGCCCUGUUUGUGGCAUGUUUCUCUCUUAUAAUAACACCACAGCAGUGUGUGAAUGCACUAUGUCUGUGUCUCUUUUUUGCAUGGCAUGGUUUGUUUUCUCCAUCUCUCGCGGCAGCCUGCUUGGCGCCAUGUUCCCCAUGCCCCGUGUCAUCUGGGCCAUGGCUGACGAUGGCCUGCUGCAUUGAAGAUUGCUUAUGCUUUUAGAUUGAAAGAUUGCUUAUGCUUUUAGCACUUUCCUUGAAUGGGGUACGAAUAACGACACUUUAAAAAAAAAUCUUCUUUUUUAAGGAUGCACUUAGCUUUCGGAAAGGAAGGCUAAACUAAAUAUUAUUUUAUUAAUUUUUUAUAUAUAUAUAUAUAUAUUAUAUAUUUGAAAUUUUUUCAUAAUUUUGAUUUUAUUACAUUAUAUAUAUAUAUAUAUAUAUAUAUAUAUAUAUAUAUAAUUAUUAUAUAUAUAUAUAUAUAUAUUAUUAUUAUUAAUAUUAUUAUUAUUAUAUAUAUAUAUAUAUAUAUAUAUAUAUAUAUAUAUAUAUAUACAUACAAUAUCUGAUAGUUAGCUCUAGAUAGCAUGGCAUUUGUAAAUGUUUUGCUUUUAAACCAUAAAUCAAAUGCUUACAUGCAUAAAGGCAGUUUACAUGAUCCAUUUUCACUCCCAAAAUUUCUCACAAUUUAUGUGAAAAUGAUCUAUGAUGACAGAGACAGAAUAUUUCAGAGAUCUUUAUUAUUAUUGGCAAAAACGUAUCAAGAACCACCAUGUUGAGUAAAUUCAUAGGAAAUAAAUACAGGUCAUUCUGAUUCCUUUAUGGAGUCUCAGUGUAGUGAUAUUAUUUUCUUUUUCUUUUUUCCUAUUCUAUAAAAAGUAUAAAAAUGACAUUGAGGGUUUUUAGAAAUUCCUAAAACAUCUAUUAUUAUUAAUUGAUAACAUUUGACUAAACCCCACUUUAUGCCUUCUUAAGUUAAAUGUUGUAUUAUUUUAUACCCUAUUUGUGGAAAGUGCCUUUUUUCAAUUUGACAAAUGUUCCUAUCUAUUUAAUAUUACAAAUGGGCUUUUAAAAAUGUUAAUAAAUGUUUUGUAACAACUGAUAAUCCAUGAAUAUUGACUCUUUUGAUUGCAAAAAAAGAUUUGUUUUUUAUGCAUUUAAUUGUUCACUGACAAACAAGACACAAAAAGAUUCACAAAAGAGUAUUUUGAGGGAAUCAUGUUUAUGUACCAGUAAUACUGGCCUAAAUAGUAUUACAACAUAUGCAUGUUCUCUACAUAAAAUAGAUAACUUUCAAUCCUGCCGUCAAAAGAGAUGACCAUAAAUCGAUCCUU